rnacentral:rRNA from 1 species
CGGUUGAUCCUGCCAGUAGUCAUAUGCUUGUCUCAAAGAUUAAGCCAUGCAUGUCUAAGCACAUGCCUUAAUACGGUGAAGCCGCGAAUAGCUCAUUACAACAGCCACCGUUUACUAGAAUAUAGUUAUCCUACUUGGAUAACUGUGGCAAUUCUAGAGCUAAUACAUGCAAAAAAGCUCCGCCCACAAGGAACGAGCGCAUUUAUUAGAAUAAAAACCAAUCGGGUUUCGGCCCGUAAUUUGGUGAAUCUGAAUAACUUUGCCAAUCGCACAGUCCUAGUACUGGCGAUGUAUCUUUCAAGUGUUUGCCUUAUCAACUUUCGAUGGUAGGUUAUACGCCUACCAUGGUAGUAACGGGUAACGGAGAAUAAGGGUUCGACUCCGGAGAGGGAGCCUGAGAAACGGCUACCACAUCCAAGGAAGGCAGCAGGCGCGCAAAUUACCCACUUCCAGAACGGAGAGGUAGUGACGAAAAAUAACGAGACAGUCCUCUUCGAGGUCUGUCAUCGGAAUGGGUACAAUUUAAAUCCUUUAACGAGGAUCUAUUGGAGGGCAAGUCUGGU